CUGAUGGAGCAACGCCGGGUGUGUGAUGAAGGCUUUCGGGUCGUAAAGCACUGUCGUAUGGGAAGAACAGCUAGAAUAGGAAAGGAUUUUAGUUCGACGGUACCAUACCAGAAAGGGAGGGCUAAAUACGUGCCAGCAGCCGCGGUAAUACGUAUGUCCCGAGCGUUAUCCGGAUUUAUUGGGCGUAAAGCGAGCGCAGACGGUUUAUUAAGUCUGAUGUGAAAGCCCGGAGCUCAACUCCGGAAUGGCAUGGAAACUGG
rnacentral:rRNA from 1 species